UUGGUGACACUACCCAAGGGAAA
rnacentral:siRNA from 1 species